CCUACGGGUGGCAGCAGUAGGGAAUAUUGCUCAAUGGGGGAAACCCUGAAGCAGCAACGCCGCGUGGAGGAUGAAGGUUCUAGGAUUGUAAACUCCUUUUGUUAGAGAAGAUAAUGACGGUAUCUAACGAAUAAGCACAGGCUAACUCCGAGCCAGCAGCCGCGGUAAUACGGAGGGUGCAAGCGUUACUCGGAAUAACUGGGCGUAAAGCGCGCGUAGGCGGGAUAGCAAGUCAGAGGUGAAAUCCUAUGGCUUAACCAUAGAACUGCAUUUGAAACUGUUAUGCUAGAGUAUGGGAGAGGUAGGUGGAAUUCUUGGUGUAGGGGUAAAAUCCUUAGAGAUCAAGAGGAAUACGCAUUGCGAAGGCGACCUGCCAGAACAUAACUGACGUUGAUGCGCGAAAGCGUGGGGAGCAAACAGGAUUAGAUACCCCAGUAGUC
rnacentral:rRNA from 1 species